AUGAAAAUUCCCCCAAAUGAGUCCUUCUCCGAGGGGGUGGAGGUCACACAGCUGGCACAACUGGUAUCACAACCAACUCGAGGCGACCCAGAGGAAGAUGCUGCGCCAAGAGAAGCAAAGCGAAGGAGCGCGACCCAGGAGGCUAGCGAAAUCCCCGCCAAGCCCCCAGGAGGCGGAGAGAAGCCCAGUCGCCAGGCACCGGCCACGGCGCACGCCAACAUUCAGGAUAAUUCUCCUUUCCAAGCCCGGGAGUUCCGGGGCAGGCGAAAAAGGGGGGAUGGGAGACCCACAGUCCCUUUAACCCUCCCCCCUGGCCUGCCAACCUUUUCCGAACCCCCAUGUCACACAACUUCCUCAUCAUGGAAACUUCCACUGGGUUCGGCGCUGAGGAUGCCAAACUCCAUUUCACAAGGAACAUGUCAACAGCUGGGCUUGGGGUUUGAGGAACAGAGUCGCUGCGAUUGGAACAGAGCCCGGCCACCCUGUUCCACCACUGUCCACUCCGUAGCUCCCAGCCUGCCGCCGCGCGGUGCCCGAACACGAGAGGGCACCUCCUCCCAGAUCCGGGGCGCAGAAGCCCCGCGGAGGCAGGGAAGUUCCUGGGCUUUGCUCCAAAGCUGCCCCGGAAUGUUUUGGUUGGUUUGGAGAAAAGCUGUGGCGUCUACACCACUUGUUCCAAGCAGGCGGCCCCCUGGUGGCUAACUGGGGGUGAGAAAGCUGGCCACUGAGGAAGAAGUCUGGCGCAGGUAGAAGAUUCUGAGGCCCUGGGCGGGAACUAGUAAGCCACAAUCUGGAAGAGUCUUUUAUCACCAUGUGGAGGAGAACUAGAGCACUCAUGUUGAACUAUUACCGAGAAAAGUAAUCAACUUCUUUUGUGUUAAGUCACUGAAAGGCAAGUGUUAAUUUGUUGCAGUAAUUGGUGCUCCCUUAACACACCUGUCAGCCAGGCCAAACUCUAUCACAGCAUAAAUAAUCUUUUCCUUAAAUAAAUACAGGUAAAAGAAUAAAAUAGACCUAAGUGCAUUAAUAUGAAUAUAGGCUCAAAGCAAAAUGUUGGGCUAUAAAUGUUCAGAGUGAUAAUUUUUUAAGUUGAUGUGUAAUUUAGUACAGUAAAAUAGAUAAAACCUAAAUGUUCAGUUCAAUGAAUUUUUACAUGUUCAUACCCCUGUAUAAUCACCUCCCAGAACAACAUAGAAAAUACUUCAUAUAAAUGGAAUCAUACAGUGUGUUUUCUCUUGUGUCUGGUUUCUUUCACUCAAUGUUUUUGAGGUGAAUCCACAUUAUUGUGUGGAUUAGAACGCUGUUCUCUUAAAAUUUCUGUUUGACAUUACGUUAUAUGAAUAUGCCACAAUUUGUUUAUUCAUUCUCCAAUUGAUGGACAUUUGGGUUGUUUCCAAUUUGGGACUAUGACAAAUGAAGCAGCUAUGAACAUUCUUGAACACUUAUUUUUGUGGUACAUGCACUCAUAUCUCCUGGGCAUAUGCAUAGGAGUGAAAUUGAUGGUCAUAUAUUUAUCUGAGUUAUUCUAUUAAAGCUCUGUGAGGUACUAGCACAAUUACGAACAACUAGAAAAUGGUCAGUUACCACUUGCUGACUUCUGUUCAUUCUUACAGUUUUCACAAAUAAAAUAGUCAAAGUUAUAUGGAGUCUAACUUGAGUGAGUAAAUAUUCUUCAGUAUCACAAAUAGAAAAUCCUCAAAAUGAUCAAUAUUCAAAACUACCGUUGCCUUAUGUAGCAAUUACAAGCUCUGCUUGCAGCUGCAAAUCAUUUUUAUGAACUAAGCUACAUAUUAAAGCCCAUGUAAAAAUGAAGAUGCUGAUAAAUUAAAGUAUAUCAAGAAAAAGGUGAAUGGCUGAAAGGAAGGUAAGAAUACCAAAACAUUUCCAGAUUAAAUCUUACUUUUCAGCUGUUUGAAAGAUAGGUUUAAGACAUGCUGAGUAAUUGCUAAUUGGACUGUAAUAACCUAUGUUCACUGUGAGUGCACAGAAGUACAGUAUAUUGUUAAAUUCUUUGUCAAUCACAAAAGAAAUCUAGUGGUUCAAGACACAUCUUCCCAAAACAUGCCAAUUAAGUGUCCUUCCUUUUUGAGUUAUGCUUAUAUGCAUCAAAAAUGGAAAUGUAAUUGUUAAAAAUUUGGGGAAAAUAUCCUUUUUUAAAGGAAGGGAAUGAGGUAAAUCUUACUCAUUUUCAUGGAAUAAACUUUAAUAUAUCUAGAUAUAACAACACAUAUAAUAAAAUGCUAUGAUUAUGGGCUAUUUUCAGAUCCUUAAAAUCCCUGAAUGAGUCAUAUGUGAAGUGACAGUCAUAACUUCAGAUUUGCUUGCCUUUGUCAGUUAUUUUAAAUGAAAUUCUCAAUUUGAGGGCAAGAUGGGUCUUAGUGACACCUCCUAUUUUCAUAUAUUAUAGCUCUCUUUCACAAAUAAACUUGCCUUAUCCUGUUUACAAAGUAUUGCGUAAAAUGCUAGUCAUAACUCCUACAAACACAACUGUAGAACAUAUUUUGAACUUCUAUAAAUGAUACAUUUGAGGCAAACAAAUCUACAGCUAGUACAAGAAAGGAUUGAGUUUUCAUUAUGCAGAUUUAGAACAAAACCCUGCAAUGUAGUUCAUGCCAGAUAAUGAAUAAAAAUAAUUUGAGUUCCAGGUUUGUGUCCUUUCUAAUCAUGUGAUUUGAGCAUGUUACUUAGCUUCUCUAAGCCUCAGUUUCCACAACUGUAGAAAUGAAGAAAACCAUUGUACCUACCUGAUAGGGACGGUAUGAGGAAUCUGUGGUAAUAGAUGGAUAAUGCUACACACGGUGCCUGGCACACAGUAGCUGGCUCAUUA
rnacentral:lncRNA from 1 species